UAUGUCUCUGGUAAUUCAUUUUUAUGAUGUCGGGGAAGGGAUAAACUAAUCUCAGUGAGAUUCGUCGAGUCUAGAUAUUUUAACUGACGCCUCUUCAGUCCAGUUAUCUAGCCGUGACAAAUCUCGCUGAGAUUAGGAUAGAACGAAUAAAAAUUAUUAAUAUGUCUUACGGCGGACCGUGUUUGAGGGCGAAGCAAAAAUAUUGGCAUUAGUAUCUAGAUCCGUAACAGGACAAAAAUUAUUCCGAAACAUUAGCACCUAACGUGUGAGGACAGAACUCAAUCAAAGUAUUCUAUUAAACUUUAGACAUUUUUGAUCCGCCAAUUCAUCGAACGUGGGAAACUCUAUGCAACUGAUGUAAACAGUGCAUUGUGACGUCAUAUUCAGCGUCGGUAUUUAGCAAAUACACAAAGAUUGGAGACAUGACCUACUAUCGCGUUAAUCAUGGUUAAUCAUGUGAUUAUAUACGAUCAAGAAAAUAAGAUUUGCAUGCUUUUACGGAUUUUAUAUAACAUCUCAGAACGACGUGAACUUGGGUACACGAGAUUCAAAAUGGAGAAAUACAUGUUCACGCGCUAGUAUUCGAAUCGACGCCAUUGGGACCAAACUUUUCAAGUUCCAUAGUCUAAAAAUGAGUGAUUUGUUCCAACAUGAUAAGCAGAAAAUCCACGUCAAGAUCUGAUGCCACAACAUAAGAGGACCAGUGAUAGUGUGAGAACAGUCUCCUUAUCUGGCCAAACAUGUCGGUCAAAUGUUAAAGCCAGUUAUACUAUGACCAAUUGCAGUUUCAGAUCUGGCAUGAAAUAUGGAUAGACCACUUUUACCAACCUCUCUCAAAAUCACUAUUCAUGCACUCCAUAUUGUUUGAAAAAGUAAUUAAUCAUUCUUGAUAUUUACAGUUAUUUACAAUGGAUUUGGCAAAAGUGAAAAA